CAAAAUUGUUUUCGUGUCUAAAUAACGGCUGGACGUAACGUAAGAAAACACGUUACGUCGAUUUAUAAGAAAGUUGUAUCUUAUAUUAAGUUAUUAGACACUGAAAGAGCAUUAACAACAUUACAUCGGUAUAUUAAAUACAGGAAUUACAGCAGAACAGCGAUAAUGCAUUAUUUUACUACAUCGAGCCUGGUAGUAUGCGCAUGCGCAUUGGUCAGCAUUCAUAGUCAACCAGUUCCGUACGCGUCACAGCAAAAUACAGGGCCAUUACAACAGAUGAUGUCACAAGCGCAGCCAAACCAGCCAUUCAUGUAUAACAGCUGGGGUUCGAACCCUUACAGUUCAACAAGCUCCGGGCUUUUCUCGGGAAACACUUUUUGGCAUCGUCUGCUAAUAGGAUGGUACCGGGAAGGUUUAAUUGACGUAAUGGAUUUGAUGAAUUUGGCUUGAAAUAUAAAACAACAUAGAGUUGAUGAUUAUAGUUCCAAACUUACCACAGAGUUACCACCGUUUAUUUCUUCAUGAUUUUGUAUAUAAUCCGAUCAUUUUUGUAGCUUUGUAUAAAAUAUAUUUAUUGAAAUGA